rnacentral:rRNA from 1 species
CCUACGGGAGACAGCAGUCGAGAAUCAUUCACAAUGGGGGAAACCCUGAUGGUGCGACGCCGCGUGGGGGAAUGAAGGUCUUCGGAUUGUAAACCCCUGUCAUGUGGGAGCAAAUUAAAAAGAUAGUACCACAAGAGGAAGAGACGGCUAACUCUGUGCCAGCAGCCGCGGUAAUACAGAGGUCUCAAGCGUUGUUCGGAAUCACUGGGCGUAAAGCGUGCGUAGGCUGUUUCGUAAGUCGUGUGUGAAAGGUGCGGGCUCAACCCGCGGACGGCACAUGAUCCUGCGAGACUAGAGUAAUGGAGGGGGAACCGGAAUUCUCGGUGUAGCAGUGAAAUGCGUAGAUAUCGAGAGGAACACUCGUGGCGAAGGCGGGUUCCUGGACAUUAACUGACGCUGAGGCACGAAGGCCAGGGGAGCGAAAGGGAUUAGAUACCCCAGUAGUC